GUUUUCUGCCAUGCUUUGGAGGAAGAAGCCAGUAGCCAUGUGAGGUCUCGGGAGGAGCUGGGGCCUGUGGUCACUGCUACAGAUUCAAGACAAGCCCGGAGGGGGCUGGUGACGCAGCCGCUUUCUCGGAAUAAAGGCAGAGAUAGCCUAAAACUACACACAACAGCGGGAUGAGCUGGAUGGCCCACUAGUCACCUUUUCAGAGACCAUCCUAACUGCCUUCAGGGGGUUGGGAUCACAGAUCUCUUAACUUCUUCAAACCAACAAAGGGGGCGGAUCUAGCUACAGAGACACAAUAAAAAGCAACAUGGUAAAGAUCCCAAA
rnacentral:lncRNA from 1 species